rnacentral:rRNA from 1 species
CCUACGGGAGGCAGCAGUGGGGAAUAUUGGGCAAUGGGCGCAAGCCUGACCCAGCAACGCCGCGUGAAGGAAGAAGGCUUUCGGGUUGGAAACUUCUUUUCGCAGGGAAGAAGCAAGUGACGGUACCGGAGGAAUAAGCGACGGCUAACUACGUGCCAGUAGCCGCGGGAAUACGUAGGGGGCAAGAGUUAGCCGGCUUUACUGGGUGUAAAGGGCGGGUAGGCGGGAAAGGCAGUCAGAUGUGAAAACCAUGGGCUCAACCUGUUGCCUGCAUUUGAAACUGUUUUUCUUGAGUACUGGGGAGGCAGGCGGAAUUCCUAGUGUAGCGGUGAAAUGCUUAGAUAUUAGGAGGAACACCAGUGGCGAAGGCGGUCUGCUGGACCGCACCUGACGCUGAGGCGCGAAAGCGUGGGUAGCAAACAGGAUUAGAUACCCCUGUAGUC